UGGGGAAUCUUCCGCAAUGGGCGAAAGCCUGACGGAGCAACGCCGCGUGAGUGAAGACGGCCUUCGGGUUGUAAAGCUCUGUUAUAUGGGACGAACGGGCGUAUGGUCAAUACCCAUACGCCGUGACGGUACCGUAAGAGAAAGCCACGGCUAACUACGUGCCAGCAGCCGCGGUAAUACGUAGGUGGCAAGCGUUGUCCGGAAUCAUUGGGCGUAAAGGGCGCGCAGGCGGUUCGGUAAGUCGGUCUUAAAAGUGCGGGGCUUAACCCCGUGAUGGGAUUGAAACUGCCGGACUGGAGUGUCGGAGAGGAAAGCAGAAUUCCUAGUGUAGCGGUGAAAUGCGUAGAUAUUAGGGGGAAUACCAGUGGCGAAAGCGGCUUUCUGGACGACAACUGACGCUGAGGCGCGAAAAGCCAGGGGA
rnacentral:rRNA from 1 species